GUCGGUAAAACUCGUGCCAGCAACCGCGGUUAUACGAGAGGCCCAAAUUGAUGCAUUACGGCGUAAAGUGUGAUUAGAGACGAAAUAAAAUAGAGCCAAACACUCCUUAUGCUGUCAUACGCUAUGGGGGUCACGAAGCCCAACAACGAAAGUGGUUCUAUAAACCUUGAACUCACGACAGCUAAGAUACAAACUGGGAUUAGAUACCCCACUAUG
rnacentral:rRNA from 1 species